CAGGCCUCCAACUCUGGAAGAAGUAAAACUGUCAUUGUUUGCAGGCAACAUGAUAGUGGACAUAGAAAGCCCAAUAAUCUCCACCAAAAACUACUCGACCUGAUAAGUAAGUGGGGCAAAGUAGGGGGAUUCAAAGUCAACAUUCAGAAGUCAAUAACAUUUUUGUACACCAACAAUGAACUAUCAGAAACAGAAAUUGGGGGGAGGGGAAUCCCAUUUACUAUAGAAAUAAAAAAAAAUAAAGUACCUAGGAAUAAAUUUAACCAAGGAAGUAAAAGACCUAUACUUGGAAAACAAUAGAACUGAACAAAUAAGUUGAGGAAGACACAUAUAAGUGGAAGCAUACGCCAUGUUCAUGGUUUUGACGAAAUAACAUCAUUAAAAUGUUCAUACUACCCAUAGCAAUUUAUAUGUUCAAUGCAAUCCUUAUUAAAACACCAAGGCAUAUUUCACUGAUCUAGAACAAAUGCUCAAGAAAAUUUGCAUGGGACCAAAAAAGACCCUAAAUAACCUCAGCAAUCUUGAGAAAGAAGAAAAAAGUUAGAGGGGUCACAAUAUCUGAUAUCAAACUAUAUCACAAAUCCACUGUAAGCAAAACAGCCUG